rnacentral:lncRNA from 1 species
AUGCUAGCAUGUUCUGGUCACCUGACGCAAAGAACUGACUCACUGGAAAAGACCCUGAUGCUGGGCAAGAUUGAAGGCGGGAGGAGAAGGGGACAACAGAGAAUGAGAUGGUUGGAUGGCAUCACCAACUCGAUGGAUGUGAGUUUGAGUAAAACUCCAGGAGAUGGUGAUGGACAGGGAGGCGUGCUGUGGUCCAUGGAGUCGAAAAGAGUCGGACCCAACCAGGUAACUGAACAAAGUGGGAGUCUCGGGGCGACCGCCCACUACAAGAAGGAAGAGAGCCAGAAAGAAGACCUUCUGGGACCAGCUGGACAACCCGCCCAGCGAGGCUUCCAGUCGUUCACUCCGCACCCUGCGGGCCCCACGCCCCAUCCAUCCAUCCCGCCUCGGAAGUACCCGAUCGCCCGGAGGCGUGCUGUCGUCCAGGUUGUUGAGGGCGUUCUCCACACGGGCCAGGCGGCCGGCCAGCGACAGCAGGAGGUUCACCACCUUGUCGAGGUCCCCAAUGAACAUGUGGAACUUGUCAAACUCAUUGGGCUUGCACACGGCCUUGACCAGGGCCUGCACCUCAUCGCCCAGCGCGCUGUUGGCCUGCAUGUCCUCCAGCAGGCUCUCCCGCACCUCCCGCAGCAACUGCAGCUUGCGGCCAAGGCUCUCAAUGAGCUCCUGCUGUGGGUACAGCGUGUGGGACUCAGUCACGGCCCUGCUGACCUGGGCACCCCUGCACCCGCCUGCACCUCCUGGCCUGUGGGCCCGUCAGCAGCUUGUUGCACAUGAAAAAAUGUCAAGGCAGCAUCGAAAAAAUCUGCAAGCAAUAAAUGCUGGAGAGGCUGUGGAGAAAAGCGAAACCCUCUUGCACUGUUUGAAACUGAAAGUCGCUCAGCUGUGUCUGACUCUUUGGGACCCCACGGCCUAUGCAGUCGAUGGGAUUCUCCAGGCCAGAACACUGGAGUGGGUAGCCUUUCCCUGCUCCAGGGGAUCUUCCCAACGCAGGGAUCAAAUUCAGGUCUCCUGCCUCGUGGGCGGAUUCUCUAUCAGCUGAGCCACGAGGGAAGCUCCCUUGCACUGUUAGUGGGACUGUAAAUUGGUACAUCGAUUAUGGACAACAAUAUGGAGAUUUAUUUAAAAAAAAAAGAAAAAACUAGGACUAAAACAACCAUAUGAUCAAGCAAAUCCCAGUACUGGACAUAUACCCUGGACGAAAGCAUGACUGAAAAAGACACAUGUACCACACUGUUCACUGUAGCACUAUUUACAAUAGCUAGCAAUUGGGUCAGAGAGGGCAACGGCACCCCACUCCAGUGCUCUUGCCUGGAAAAUCCAUGGACAGAGGAGCCUGGUAGGCUGCAGUCCAUGGGGUCGCUAACAGUCAGACACUAUUAAGCGACUUCACUUUCACUUUUUACUUUCAUGCAUUGGAGAAGGAAAUGGCAACCCACUCCAGUUAUUCUUUCCUGGAGAAUCCCAGGGACAGAGGAACCUAAUGGGCUGCUGUCUAUGGGGUCGCACAGAGUCAGACACGACUGAAGCGACUUAGCAGCAGCAGCAGCAACAACAGCAGCACAUGGGUGGAGAAGGAAAUGGCAACCCACUGCAGUGGUCUUCCCUGGAGAAUCCUGUGGACAAAGGAGCCUGGUAGGCUGCGGGGGUCGCACAGAGUCGGACACGACAAAAGUGA